CUUGUCGACUAGUAAGCGUUUUUUCUCCUCAAGAAGAUGUAAGAGGAAGGGUUGCCUGUAUAAAGAUUGUAAGCUUAAAUAGGAGGAAAGUUGAAUAAUUGUGGUCUCUGAUGAAGGAUCAGGAUCAUCCAAAAUGGGCUUAAGAAUCCCAGGUUAGCCUAUUGGACUUUCUCCAGUUUGGCAAGAAGCUUCAGCUCCCCUUUGUGAUGCUAUAUUUUUUCACAUGCAUGCUCAGACAUUACUCCAUAUAUCUACGUUUGUGACUCAUUUGGAAUCCUUAUCAACGUUGGAGUGCUUACUAUUCUCUAUAUGGACUUAUAUACUAUAAUUUGUAGUGUAUUUAUGUGCUUGUCCAGAUGUACAUUCAUUCUUUGUUAUGAUUAUUCACUCACUAUUUGAGUCAAUGAGUUUGGGUAUAUGUAUGUGCAGCAUUAGUUGCCAGAUCACUGCUUUUUGUUCCAGUUUUCUAGAUUAGUGAUUGACAUGACUUUAUCACUUACAUUUACAAUAUAGCAUCCAGAAUUUGUCAUACGGA